AACGAACGCUGGCGGCAUGCCUAACACAUGCAAGUCGAACGAAGGCUUCGGCCUUAGUGGCGCACGGGUGCGUAACGCGUGGGAAUCUGCCCUUGGGUUCGGAAUAACAGUGAGAAAUUACUGCUAAUACCGGAUGAUGACUUCGGUCCAAAGAUUUAUCGCCCAAGGAUGAGCCCGCGUAAGAUUAGCUAGUUGGUGAGGUAAAGGCUCACCAAGGCGACGAUCUUUAGCUGGUCUGAGAGGAUGAUCAGCCACACUGGGACUGAGACACGGCCCAGACUCCUACGGGAGGCAGCAGUGGGGAAUAUUGGACAAUGGGCGAAAGCCUGAUCCAGCAAUGCCGCGUGAGUGAUGAAGGCCUUAGGGUUGUAAAGCUCUUUUACCAGGGAUGAUAAUGACAGUACCUGGAGAAUAAGCUCCGGCUAACUCCGUGCCAGCCGCCGCGGUAACAC
rnacentral:rRNA from 1 species